rnacentral:lncRNA from 1 species
AAUGUAAAUAAAUAAAUGUAAAUUAAAUAGUUAUCCUAACUGAACAAAACAAAGUCGGGAACAAUGGAUUAAUGGAUAUGUAAAAGCCAUAAGGAGAACAGAACUAAAAUUAAAAUAUGAAAGAAUAUGCAAUAAACAUUGUAUAAAAGUGGAAAGCCAGCCACUUUAAAAAGAUAUUCCAAACUAAAACAUGGGUUACCAAAGCAGGCAAUAAAAAGAAAAGGUGAUCUAGAAUGCAAGAGAAGAGCUGAUGAAAGAAGUAAAUGUAAAGAAAAUAAUGAAGAGACUUCUCUCGACCAUGAACAAACACCAGCUAUUUUAUAUAUGUAGAAAAAGGAAAAACUGCUGGAACUUUAAUUUAAAGGCUUUUGACUAGUGAAGAUUUGGAUAAACAACAGGAGUUACUUUGGGCUAUAGCUACGUGCAAAUUUAUUUUCUUGUGGCUUCCUAUGUUUAUUCUUAUUAACUAUAUCUACACUUUGAUAUGUUUUAGUCGCAUGAAGAUUUUAUAGUUUAUUAUUUUAUGUAUAUUGUUAUAUUUGUGUUGAAUAAACAUUAUUAUUAUUAUUA